AGGCCAUGGUGAGGAACUCUUCUCAGCAGUUCCUUGUAUCGUUCCCAUGACUAGUAUAAAGAUUCCCCCUCUUGUUGGAACAAUGUAGUGAUAUCAUUCCUCAUUUU
rnacentral:snoRNA from 1 species